rnacentral:lncRNA from 1 species
GAACGUGCAGAAGGUAACUUUACGUUUUCUGAGGUUUGCAUUCAUCAGAACCAUCAAAUAUGCAUUUUCUUAAAGUCGCAGUGCUCCUUGUAGCAGUUCUUGCUGCAGUGUUCGGAACCAGCAUGGCCAAGGGUCAUGGUGGUGGUCAUGGUCAUGGUCAUGGAGGUGGUCAUGGAGGUGGAAAGGGUCAUGGCGGCAAAGGUCAUGGUGGUGGCCAUGGGGGCAAGGGACACGGAGGCCAUGGUGGCGGACACGGGGGCAAAGGACAUGGAGGCGGCCAUGGAGGAAAGGGGCACCAUGGAUAAACAUAGCAGCUGAAAGAUGUGUCACGAGAAAGCCCUUGUUUUUUAUUCCACUGCUGCUGGACAACGGGGAAACCACAACUCAUGUAAAACAUGAUGAUCUUGUAUUUUGUUUGACCAGACCUCUGAAUAAAAAUACACUCCAAAGUGUUAAAUCUGAUUACA